GGCCCGAUUUUAGUUAGCGGAGAAGCUUUCGUGCCUUCCGGAACUCUGAGACAGGUGCUGCAUGGCUGUCGUCAGCUCUUGUAGUGAAAUGUUGGGUUAAGUCCCGCAACGAGCGCAACCCUUAUCCUUGUUUGCCAGCACGUAAUGGGGGGAACUCCAGGGAGACUGCCGGUGAUAAACCGGAGGAAGGUGGGGACAACGUCAAGUCUUCUUGGCCCUUACGAGAAGGGCUACACACGUGCUCCAAUGGCGAAUACAGAGGGUUGCCAACUGGGGGGGGGGAGCAAAUCCAACAAAGCGCGUCGUAGUCAGGAUUGGAGUCUGCACCUCGACUCCAUGAAGUGGGAAUCGCUAGUAUCCUUGAAUCAAAAUGCCCCGGGGAUUACUUUCCCGGGUCUUGUACACACGAAA
rnacentral:rRNA from 1 species